CCGCGUCUCUUCCUCAAUAGUAUUAGCUCGCUCUCUCUCUCUCUCUCUCAAAACCCCUAACAGAUUUCCGAAAUCUUUAACAGUCAGUUUUGCUGCUAUUCAUAUCAGACGAGAAGUUACGAAGUCUGAGGUCAAGUACUUGUCGGAGUUUCCUCUCUCAGCAGUCCGGUCGAACUUUAGCUAUACCGGCAUUUUCCAAGGGAACAUUUGUCGAUUCAUGGGACUUGCUCUUUGGUUUCUGGGACAGUUAGGACUGCUACCGAGGAGCCGUUUUCUAUUGUCAUUCAAUUGAAUUUCGAAACUGGAAAAUCAGGAAUUUCCUUCUCUUUGAUUUUCUUCCUCUUUCCUUGACCAGCAGUUUCUGCACUGAGUACUGAAAUGGAAUGUACAUUAUAUUCUCCAAUGAUGAUUAAGUUACGUA